rnacentral:rRNA from 1 species
UACGGGGGGGGCAAGCGUUGUUCGGAAUUACUGGGCGUAAAGGGCUCGUAGGCGGCCAACUAAGUCAGACGUGAAAUCCCCAGGCUUAACCUGGGAACUGCGUCUGAUACUGGAUGGCUUGAAUUCGGGAGAGGGAUGCAGAAUUCCAGGUGUAGCGGUGAAAUGCGUAGAUAUCUGGAGGAAUACCGGUGGCGAAGGUGGCAUCCUGGACCGACAUUGACGCUGAGGAGCGAAAGCUAGGGGAGCAAACGGG